rnacentral:SRP_RNA from 2 species
GCCGAGCCUUGUAACGUGGGCUUGUAACCUAAGUUGGGGCAACAAUGUGGUGGAAUGUUAGACUGAUCUUGAAGGCUGGGCUUGGCAGGCUAAUCUCUGGCUUGCCCUAUCCAAGCAUGGAGUUGGGCCAAGUGGUCUAUACGAAAGUAUAGGUUGCUUUGCCUUUAGAGUGGGGCGGACUGCGUGAGGCUGGUUUCACAGAGCAACGAAUAGUCUCCGCUCUGUGUAGUGGAAGGAAAACGGGCCGGUGCUUUCCAAGUUCAAUAAACACCUGAUGGGCUGUCUAAUUAAACCACCACUUUU